rnacentral:SRP_RNA from 1 species
GCCGAGCCUGGUAACGCAAGCUUGUGACCCAAGUGGGGGCUUUAAGGUGAUGGGACACGGGUUCGACUCGUUGAGUCCGUUCUGCAGUGGUUUGAUUCAGGCUUGUCCGUUCCAAGCAAGGAGUUGGACCAAGGGGCACGAGCGUAGGCUUGUGCGUCGUGGUUCUUAGAGAGGGGGAUAAAGCGUGAGGCUGGUUUCACAGAGCAGCGAUUACCUUCCGCUCCUUGCAGUGGAAGGAUAACAGGCUUGAUCCAUUCGGAACCACCAUGGCUCAAUGAGCUGACCCAACUGUACCAUCAUUUUU